rnacentral:rRNA from 1 species
UACAGAGGUCUCGAGCGUUAGGCGGAAUCACUGGGCUUAAAGCGUGUGUAGGCGGACUGGUAAGUACCUUGUGAAAUCCCACGGCUCAACCGUGGAACUGCUUGGUAUACUGCUUGUCUUGUGCAACCUAGGGGCGAGCGGAACAGAUGGUGGAGCGGUGAAAUGCGUAGAUAUCAUCUGGAACGCCAAUGGUGAAAACAGCUCGCUGGGGGUUUGCAGACGCUGAGA